UUACCAUGGUUUCUUGAGGUUUCCUACGCUAGUUCUUGAAUUUAUUGUGACGCAUUUGUGCUGCAAACAUACAACGGUGCUUUCGUUCUCGCAAUGCUACUUUGGUGCACAGUUCGCGCAUUAAUGUGCUUUUCAUAACCCGUUAUAUAUGUUGCUGGAUCAAAUCAAAACUGCACGGCUGCAGACAAUGAAGCUGUAGCUGCACUGUUGCAGUUGGAAAGCAUUGAGGUGGGUCCAACUCCAAUAGACAAUGUCUUGGCGUGCGAAGUGCCUAGAGGACGUGUUGUCAUCGCCACCAGGCUCACGUGGAGCACUACACCACAUUGGAGUAUUUCCUGGCGGCCUCCAGCAGCACCUUCAGGAAAAAUGUGCGAAGAAGUGCCUUGAACACAAUGCCCUGCUAGAUAAAAUGGCAAGUCUUGUACACAAAGAUGCAGCUCCAUGGGGGUAUAUCAAGAUCAUGGGCAUUUCGGAAAAAGUUGCAUAUUAUACUGGCCUACCCAAUGAGGAGACAUUCAAAUGAGUUGUCUGCAUCUUUGAAAAUUCCAGCAGUUUUGUAGAAACCCUAAGUAACGAAGACCAAAUGCUACUUUUUUUUUAUGAGGCUGCACCAUGACAUCCAGCUCUGUUUCUUGGCAUACCUCUUCAAUAUAUCAAGAAAUCUCACUUCCAAAAUAUUUGACUGCGUCCUCACAAGAUUGGUGACUUGAGUUGAAGGAACUUGUUGUGUGGCCAGACGAAGAAGCAUUUUAAGUGCAGACGGUUCCGUCGUGUCCAUGUGAUUAUUGACAGCACGAAGAUUCGUCUAUAAAGAGCAAGUGCUUCAACAGCGCAAAGCAGUACGUGGUCAUCAUACAAGAACUCCAACACUGUGAAAGUGCAGGUGGAAAUUACACCAAAUGGACUAAUCUCUAUAUUUCCGAGUGUUGUGGUGGCAAAGUCAGCAACAAGCAGCUGGUUCUCCUAACAGACUUCACGAAGAAGCCGGAAUAUGGUGACGAAGUGAUGGCAGACAGGGGCUUUAAUUUUACCAACCAGCUGGCAGUACUUUGGGUAAGACUGGUUGUAUCUGCCUACACGAAGGGGAAGAACCAGCUCUCGCAAAGGGAAGUGACAGAGUCCCAUGUCCUGUCAUUGAUUUCAUAAAGACUUCGGCAACUCGGUCAAAGCCUCACAAUCAUAAGAACUGUUGGUGUCUUCAUUUCUUGUGGCAUACUUCGGAUACACUGUAAACACAGCUGCAUUCAGUAAUAUUGCCACAGAGACUAAUUAAACUAUCCGAUAUUAUGAA